UUCUUGGGCGCAAUUGGGUGAGCGCGUUCGACUAUUAUUCGAGAGGUGGGAAGUUUCGAGCCCUCCCCAGGGAG
rnacentral:tRNA from 1 species